rnacentral:tRNA from 1 species
GGGGGCUCAGUGGUAGAGCUCUUGCCUUGCAUGCAUGAAGCCCUGGGUUCAAUUCCUCAGCACCA